rnacentral:rRNA from 1 species
UUGUAAAGCACUUUCAGUAGGGAGGAAGGUAGUGUAGUUAACACCUGCACUAUUUGACGUUACCUACAGAAGAAGCACCGGCUAACUCCGUGCCAGCAGCCGCGGUAAUACGGAGGGUGCGAGCGUUAAUCGGAAUUACUGGGCGUAAAGCGCAUGCAGGCGGCCUGUUAAGUCAGAUGUGAAAGACCCGGGGCGUUAACCUCGGAAUUGCAUUUGAAACUGGCAGGCUAGAGUCUUGUAGAGGGGGGUAGGAAUUUCAGGUGUAGCGGUGAAAUAGCGUAGAGAUCUGAAGGAAUACCAGUGGCGAAGGCGGCCCCCUCGGACAAAGACUGACGCUCAGAUGCGAAAGCGUGGGGAGCAAACAGGAUUAGAUACCCUGGUAG